rnacentral:lncRNA from 1 species
GUGCGGCGCGGCGCAGGCCGGGGCGGCGGCCCGGCUGCUUUGUCCUCGCCGGGUGGGGACGCAAGGUCCCGGGUGGGUCGAGGUGGAGGGGUUGGGGAUCGUCAGUGCUCUUGUCCCCUCCCCGAGCGUCCCGCACUCACCCUCCGGAACUACUGCGGGCCGUCCGCAGCUAGCUUGGGCCGAUCGGCCUCGGAUAAAGGUCGCAGGUCCCCGAGGCCGCAGAGGCGACAACGCACAGAGCCAGGCUCACGCUCUGUGGCCCGGGGCUGUAGCCUCCUGGGCCACCCUUCUUCAUGUUUGUUAUGGUGUGGCGGAGGCCGCCAGGCUCGCUGGAGCAGGGGGAGGCUGGGUUGAAAGGAGGCCCAGCGGUGUUGGGUUACCGGCGGUGAGUCACAGUCCCCUCCAGCCGCCGAGGCCCUGCAGGCCCCCAGCUCCGGCACGGUCAGGGCAGGGCCCUCCUGGAGCAACCGCGGAGCCUGGAAAGUCCCCGAGAGGGAUGCUUCGGAACCCCGGCUCUCUCAGGGAGAAAGGCGGAGUCAGGAACGAAGGGAGGCUCGAAGGAGGAACCCGGCCCUUCUCCAGGGCUCCGAUCUCCCGGUAAAGUUCGGGAGUCCAACAGGGACCAACACCUAAGAGGAGGGAAGUGGGGGCCUGGAUGGAGCUGGGUCCCCUGAGCUGCCCAGCGCCAUUGGAAAGACCCCUUUCCGACAAACCAAGGCUCUGAGAUAAGCCUAGGCCUUGGCCUGCUGAGCAGUUCCUUGUCCAAGCCAGAGGCCACUUGCAGGCCUCUUGACCCCCUCAGGCGAUGGGAAUUUUCCUUUGACUAAAACGGCCAGAUCUCACCCCACCAGGUGAAGGUCAGGCAGGAAGGCCUCCCAGCAAGGCUGCCCUGGUUCUCCUGAGAUGAAGGGAGGAAAAAUAAGACAUGAAAAAAUUAAAGGUAUCUUGAGAAAUUUUUUAAAGUAAUUUCACAUAAAUUACAUUGUUCCACACUAGGGUGGGAAGACCGACCAGGAAGAGCAUCUGGUGUAGUCUCCAAGUACUGGCACUUCCUUCUGCAGCCCUCAGGUUCCUCCCGCCCUCCAAAUUCCUUCUGACUUCACUCUUGUCUACUUCUCACCUUACACUGGACUCUAGCAACAGCCUGUCUUCUCGAGACGCCCCUCGCCCCCACCCCUGUUGUCAGAGUCAUGGCCUGAAACACACCCAUUGUCGGCCCUCACUCCUCCGCUCAGUUCUGGACUUGAUAAUGGUCUUAUCUCCAAACUUUAUUUACUUAUCUUACUGAUGCCUGAAACCCUCGGCCGGUCCCUGCCUACCUUAAAAGCACUCACAUAAGACAAAAAAACGCAAAGACCAUGCCCCAGUCUAUUCGUUCCACUAGCCCUUUCAGGGACACCCUCUCCUUCCCCUCCCCCUCCCCAUUCCCCAUCCUGAAACUGUAGGCAGCUUUUAAAUGGUCUGUAGACAUCCCUGCAUGUAGAUUGAGAGACAAGUUGGUGGCCUGCAGGGAGAGCUCCCACCCCCACCGGAUUGGUUGGAUGACUUAAUCUCUUAAGACUUUCAUUUGUUCUUCAAAUAUGCAUUAGUGGGUCUAAUUGGUUUUAGUUUUUGGUUUGGAUUUCAGGUAAAUAGAUUGUCUCUACAUUAGUAAUUAAAAUGCCAAGUGUUCUGGUCCCUUCCCUCCCCCAGCAUGUGGUAGGAAACUAUUACCCCACUGCCCCCUUCAGGGUCAUAUCUGGCUAUAUAACUUGCCUCGGUUGAAAGAUUCCAUGCAGGUACCACAAUCACUGUGUCUUCCACCUGGGAACUUAGUUACAGAGUAAAGUGCCUUGUCCCAUGUCCUCAUCUUGACAAGCAGUGCACAGUGGGCUCAGGCUGAGACUCCCUGUAAAGGGAACAAGAAAGUCCCCCAGGAAGAUUGGACUGGAAAAGCAGCCUGGGCAAAUAUUCUUUUGAUGUGUUCAGCCAGGAAGAUGAUAGAUGUUUGAUUUGGCGGAUGACCUGUUCGGGCAGGGUCACUCUCAAGUGCAGGGUCUUCGUCCCUAUGUGUUGGAUGGAGAGAACCUACCGUAUGCUGUUAACCAUUUUACAACAGCAAGUGCUGCUAUGGAAGGUAGCUGCUGUGAUCUCUGUUUUCCGUUGGGGCUAGCAUAUCAGAAAGGCUUAGAGCGUGGCCUAACAUUGCUUAGCUUGUACGGAGUAACAGCAGCACGGAGACUUAAUCCCUACCUGUCCCCCUCUGCUGAUGCCAGGCUACCCCUCCUUAAAUGGGAAGGAGGCAAGACCCAAACACGGUGUGUGGCACACUGUCAUGUCCAAACCCUGGGAACUCCUGCUCAGCCUGAGUUCCUGCAGCAUUGAUAACUGGAACGCAAAACAUUUAUGUGACUACAUGUGUGGGUUUUUUAGUUACGUGUAUUUGUUCUGGGAAUGUAUGUGUGUACAUACAUACAGGUAUGUGGAGAUAAAAGGGUAACUUGGAGAGGUCACCUCUCUCCCUCCACCAUGUGGUACCCAGGGAAUCAAACUUUGACCGUUGGGCCUUCAUCUGCCGAGCCAUUGCCAGCCCAUAUGUGGUUAUUUUUAUACAGAGAAAUUACCUCCUCUAGCUUUGAAAAGGUGGCUGUGGCGUCUGCAGCCCCAGCAGAGCCCAGGCUCCUUGCUUCAGAGCUCGAGUUCUAGAGUCACACAAACCAGGUUCCUGUUCUGUCCCAAAAUUAACAAUGACUGUCUGGAGCUGUUACUUCCGCCUCUCCUUGUGUCACUUCUCUGGCCUGUCAGUAGUGAUGGGAACAACUGCAUGUCACUGCCAGCGGUAGCAGUGUGUCCCACAAAGCUGCUGUGGGUCUUGUAUGGAAUGCAUACUCUAUAGACAGUGGCUAAUACUGUCGGGUUUACCGUGCUUCUCUCCAGGCUCCUACCAGAGUUCUGAGGAAUUAUUAGCAGCUUGAUCCUACUGCCUGAUAGCUUCUGGCUCUGUGCUGCAUCCUGCACAGAUGUUGUAACAUCUGUACUCAGAAGCAUCCACGCCAUCUCACAAGUUAUAGUGGCACAAGGUUCCUCACUGGGCCUUUACUACAUGGCUGUUUUCAAAGCAACUUGAAAGCGUUCUAUGUUUCCUUCCUUGAAAGAGCUUGGUUCCGAAGACGUGUGUGUGUGUGUGUGUGUGUGUGUGUGUGUGUGUGUGUGUUACUGGGAUCCCUGCUUCACUGUUGAAAAAUAUCAACAAAGGUUGGCUUCAUUGCAUGUUACCAAUCAAUGACAGUUUAAGUCAGGAUUUGAAUCUAACCAUCUAGCAAAGGCUCCAAUCUGCCUGCAGUACAACUCACGUGAGUUGUUAUUGGUCUGUAUGGAUAGGUGAAGUUCAAGUUACCUAAGAUCAUGACCUUUCUAACUUGGCUCUGUGAGCGAGUGGAAACCCGACUUGCAAAUGAUCACUUGAGAACACGCUUAUUCGUCACUGUGGCAGAAGUUACAGAGUGAGUUCCAGGACAGCCAGGGCUAUACAGAGAAACCCUGUCUC